rnacentral:rRNA from 1 species
AGUAAAGCGAUGAUUGCUAGUUGUUUGCGAUUCAAUGUAAGCGCCCCAGCUUAAGCGUUAAGUAAUUCUCCCGGGGAGUACGUUCUCAAGAAUGAAAUUCAAAGGAAUUUUCGGGGGCCCCCACAAGCGGAGGAACAUGUGGUUUAAUUCGAUGAUACGCGAGGAACCUUACCCGGGCUUGAAAUGCGGCGGACCGGCAGAGAGAUCUGCCUUCCCUUCGGGGCCGCCGUGUAGGUGCUGCAUGGUUGUCGUCAGCUCGUGCUGUGAGGUGUCGGCUUUAGUGCCAUAACGAGAGCAACCCUCAUCAUUAGUUACUAACAGGUCAUGCUGAGGACUCUAGUGAGACUGCCAUCGUAAGAUGCGAGGAAGGUGGGGAUGACGUCAAAUCAGCACGGCCCUUACGUCCGGGGCGACACACGUGUUUCAAUGGGUGGUACAAAGGGCAGCUACCUGGCGACAGGAUGCUAAUCUCCAAAACCACUCUCAGUUCGGAUCGGAGUCUGCAACUCGACUCCGUGAAGCUGGAUUCGCUAGUAAUCGCGCAUCAGCCACGGCGCGGUGAAUACGUUCCCGGGCCUUGUACACACCGCCCGUCAAGCCAUGGAAGCCGGGGGUACCUGAAGUCCGUAACUGUCAAGGAGCGGCCUAGGGUAAAACUGGUAACUGGGCCUAAGUUGUAACAAGGUAACC